CCUACGUGAGGCUGCAGUGGGGAAUAUUGCACAAUGGGGGAAACCCUGAUGCAGCGACGCCGCGUGAGUGAAGAAGUAAUUCGUUAUGUAAAGCUCUAUCAGCAGGGAAGAAAAUGACGGUACCUGAGUAAGAAGCCCCGUCUAACUACGUGCCAGCAGCCGCGGUAAUACGGAGGGGGCAAGCGUUAUCCGGAUUUACUGGGUGUAAAGGGAGCGUAGACGGCAGUGCAAGUCUGGAGUGAAAGGCGGGGGCUCAACCCCCGGACUGCUCUGGAAACUGUACGGCUGGAGUGCAGGAGAGGUAAGUGGAAUUCCUAGUGUAGCGGUGAAAUGCGUAGAUAUUAGGAGGAACACCAGUGGCGAAGGCGGCUUACUGGACUGUAACUGACGUUGAGGCUCGAAAGCGUGGGGAGCAAACAGGAUUAGAUACCCUAGUAGUC
rnacentral:rRNA from 1 species